rnacentral:rRNA from 1 species
AGAGUUUGAUCAUGGCUCAGAUUGAACGCUGGCGGCAGGCCUAACACAUGCAAGUCGAACGGUAACAGGAAACAGCUUGCUGUUUCGCUGACGAGUGGCGGACGGGUGAGUAAUGUCUGGGAAACUGCCUGAUGGAGGGGGAUAACUACUGGAAACGGUAGCUAAUACCGCAUAACGUCGCAAGACCAAAGAGGGGGACCCUCGGGCCUCUUGCCAUCGGAUGUGCCCAGAUGGGAUUAGCUUGUUGGUGGGGUAACGGCUCACCAAGGCGACGAUCCCUAGCUGGUCUGAGAGGAUGACCAGCCACACUGGAACUGAGACACGGUCCAGACUCCUACGGGAGGCAGCAGUGGGGAAUAUUGCACAAUGGGCGCAAGCCUGAUGCAGCCAUGCCGCGUGUAUGAAGAAGGCCUUCGGGUUGUAAAGUACUUUCAGCGGGGAGGAAGGGAGUAAAGUUAAUACCUUUGCUCAUUGACGUUACCCGCAGAAGAAGCACCGGCUAACUCCGUGCCAGCAGCCGCGGUAAUACGGAGGGUGCAAGCGUUAAUCGGAAUUACUGGGCGUAAAGCGCACGCAGGCGGUUUGUUAAGUCAGAUGUGAAAUCCCCGGGCUCAACCUGGGAACUGCAUCUGAUACUGGCAAGCUUGAGUCUCGUAGAGGGGGGUAGAAUUCCAGGUGUAGCGGUGAAAUGCGUAGAGAUCUGGAGGAAUACCGGUGGCGAAGGCGGCCCCCUGGACGAAGACUGACGCUCAGGUGCGAAAGCGUGGGGAGCAAACAGGAUUAGAUACCCUGGUAGUCCACGCCGUAAACGAUGUCGACUUGGAGGUUGUGCCCUUGAGGCGUGGCUUCCGGAGCUAACGCGUUAAGUCGACCGCCUGGGGAGUACGGCCGCAAGGUUAAAACUCAAAUGAAUUGACGGGGGCCCGCACAAGCGGUGGAGCAUGUGGUUUAAUUCGAUGCAACGCGAAGAACCUUACCUGGUCUUGACAUCCACAGAACUUUCCAGAGAUGGAUUGGUGCCUUCGGGAACUGUGAGACAGGUGCUGCAUGGCUGUCGUCAGCUCGUGUUGUGAAAUGUUGGGUUAAGUCCCGCAACGAGCGCAACCCUUAUCC